CUACGGGCUGCUCCAGUCGAGAAUCUUUCGCAAUGGGGGAAACCCUGACGAAGCGACGCCGCGUGGGCGAUGAAGGCCUUCGGGUUGUAAAGCCCUGUCACGAGGGACGAAUCCACAAAGGGUAAUAUCCUGAGUGUUUGACGGUACCUCGAGAGGAAGCCACGGCUAACUCCGUGCCAGCAGCCGCGGUAAUACGGAGGUGGCUAGCGUUGUUCGGAUUCAUUGGGUGUAAAGGGCAUGUAGGCGGCUUCUUAAGUCGAUUGUGAAAUCCCAUGGCUUAACUGUGGAACUGCGAUCGAAACUGGGAGGCUUGAGUGCAGGAGAGGAAAGCGGAAUUCCCGGUGUAAGAGUGAAAUCUGUAGAGAUCGGGAGGAACACCAGUGGCGUAAGCGGCUUCCUGGCCUGCAACUGACGCUGAAAUGCGAAAGCUAGGGGAGCAAACAGGAUUAGAUACCCUCGUAGUC
rnacentral:rRNA from 1 species